rnacentral:rRNA from 1 species
GUAGGUGAACCUGCGGAAGGAUCAUUAAUGAAACUUCAAAGUCGGCCAAAGGUUGUUGCUGGUGAUUAUUCACAUGUGCACGCCUUUGGUCGCAAAUCCACACACACCUGUGCAUCUAUGACUCGAGGUUGUAAUGACUGAGAGUAACUUUUAUACACUCUUGUAUGUAAUGGAAUGUCUUUUUGUGCUAUAAUGUACAAUAUAAACAACUUUCAACAACGGAUCUCUUGGCUCUCGCAUCGAUGAAGAACGCAGCGAAAUGCGAUAAGUAAUGUGAAUUGCAGAAUUCAGUGAAUCAUCGAAUCUUUGAACGCACCUUGCACCCUUUGGUAUUCCGAAGGGUACGCCCGUUUGAGUGUCAUUGUAAUCUCACUUCUACAACUUUAUUGUUGUUUGAAUGUGGACUUGGAUGUUGCCGUUUUAUCACGGCUCGUCUUAAAUGCCUGAGUGUACCCUGUUUUGCAGCGUAUCCAGUGUAAUAAACAUUUCACUAGAGUUGGUCGAAAGACYGCRUUGACUAUAUGGGCUCUAUGCUUCAAACCGUCUGCCAUGUGGACAAUUUCUUGACAAUUUGACCUCAAAUCGGGUGGGACUACCCGCUGAACUUAAGCAUAUCAAUAAGCGGAGGAAAAGAAACUAACAAGGAUUCCCCUAGUAACGGCGAGUGAAGAGGGAAAAGCUCAAAUUUUAAAUCUGGUGUCUUUGACUCCCGAGUUGUAAUCUAGAGAAGUGUUUUCCGUGUCGGACCGUGUACAAGUUCCCUGGAACGGGGCGUCAUAGAGGGUGAGAAUCCCGUAUAUGCCACGGACUACCGAUGCUCUGUGAUACACUCUCAACGAGUCGAGUUGUUUGGGAAUGCAGCUCAAAAUGGGUGGUAAAUUCCAUCUAAAGCUAAAUAUUGGCGAGAGACCGAUAGCGAACAAGUACCGUGAGGGAAAGAUGAAAAGCACUUUGGAAAGAGAGUGAAACAGUACGUGAAAUUGUUGAAAGGGAAGCGUUUGAAGUCAGUCGCAUCUGUUGGGGUUCAGCCUGGCUUUUGCCUGGUGUAUUUCCUUUCC